GCGCAGCAGGCGAGAAAACUUCACACUGUGCGAAAGCACGAUGAGGGAAUCCCAAGUGCUUGCACGUAAGUGUAAGCUGUUUCUCUGUCUAAAACGCAGAGAGAGUAAGGGCUGGGUAAGACGGGUGCCAGCCGCCGCGGUAAUACCUGCAGCUCAAGUGGUGACCGUUAUUAUUGGGCCUAAAACGUCCGUAGCCGGUUUAAUAAAUGCCUGGGUAAAUUGUGUAGCUUAACUAUACGAAUUCCGGGUAGACUGUUAAACUUGAGACCGGGAGAAGUUAGAGGUACUCCUGGGGUAGAGGUGAAAUUCUGUAAUCCUAGGGGGACCACCAGUGGCGAAGGCGCCUAACUAGAACGGGUCUGACGGUGAGGGACGAAGCCCUGGGGCGC
rnacentral:rRNA from 1 species